UAUAAGUAUUGAACAUUAGAGGAAGUCUCAUGCUGUGGUAGAUCCAUGCAUGUAUAUUUGAGAGCGCGACAAAUAAUUACAUAAAUAUAAAAAUAAAUAUAUUUAAUAUUAAAAUUAGAAAAACAUCUCUCUUAAUUAAAUGACCAAAUAACUAUUUAAAAAUGGAUCACUCAUGAUAUUUCACAAUUUAUUCUUGAUAUAAGUCAAUUCGAAAUACAUUCUCUCUACACUCGCAAUAUCAUUAAUCGAAAUAAUCAAUACCAAUUUAGUAAGUAAAAAUAUUAAAGAAUUAAGUCAUAAGUGUCUACUAAUUUCAACAAAUUUUCAUUCUGAAUCCGCCACUGGUCACAUGCAACCUAGGCCAGACAAAUUGGAACUACGAAAAAGCUUAAAGUAGUAAACGACUUCUAAACAGUCGUUGCAACACUCGUCGAAAAAAAUAAAUAAUAUGGAUAUGCUAUAUAAAAGCAUCAUAAAUAAAUGAAGCCAAAAUAAAACAAAACAAAAUAGUAAUAGGAUAUUUUUAGUGGAUAAACUUUUGACUCCUUGAAUCUUUAUUGGGUAUUCUGUUAUAGUAGUUAAGUAGACAGGUGGCAAUCUGAUUCUAAUUUUAGCAAAGGGACAAAAAUUAAGAAAGGCAGCUUGACCGGGUUUAAUACACGGAUGACAGAUAAUCUGGUGUUUUCCCCACGGAAACGUGUGAUCCACGUGCACAUUCUAAAACCCUCCUCC
rnacentral:lncRNA from 1 species